GAGUUUGAUCGUGGCUCAGAGUGAACGCUGGCGGCAGGCCUAACACAUGCAAGUCGAGCGGCAGCACGGGUAGCAAUACCUGGUGGCGAGCGGCGGACGGGUGAGGAAUACAUCGGAAUCUGCCUCGUCGUGGGGGAUAACGUAGGGAAACUUACGCUAAUACCGCAUACGACCGAGAGGUGAAAGCGGGGGAUCGCAAGACCUCGCGCGAUGAGAUGAGCCGAUGUCGGAUUAGCUAGUUGGCGGGGUAAAGGCCCACCAAGGCGACGAUCCGUAGCUGGUCUGAGAGGAUGAUCAGCCACACUGGAACUGAGACACGGUCCAGACUCCUACGGGAGGCAGCAGUGGGGAAUAUUGGACAAUGGGCGCAAGCCUGAUCCAGCCAUGCCGCGUGGGUGAAGAAGGCCUUC
rnacentral:rRNA from 1 species